CCUACGGGGGGCAGCAGUGGGGAAUAUUGGACAAUGGGGGCAACCCUGAUCCAGCCAUGCCGCGUGUGUGAAGAAGGCCCUCGGGUUGUAAAGCACUUUCAGUGAGGAAGAACGCCUGGUGGUUAAUACCCAUCAGGAAAGACAUCACUCACAGAAGAAGCACCGGCUAACUCCGUGCCAGCAGCCGCGGUAAUACGGAGGGUGCGAGCGUUAAUCGGAAUUACUGGGCGUAAAGCGCGCGUAGGUGGCUUGAUAAGCCGGUUGUGAAAGCCCCGGGCUCAACCUGGGAACGGCAUCCGGAACUGUCAAGCUAGAGUGCAGGAGAGGAAGGUAGAAUUCCCGGUGUAGCGGUGAAAUGCGUAGAGAUCGGGAGGAAUACCAGUGGCGAAGGCGGCCUUCUGGACUGAUACUGACACUGAGGUGCGAAAGCGUGGGUAGCAAACAGGAUUAGAUACCCCUGUAGUC
rnacentral:rRNA from 1 species